CCUACGGGUGGCAGCAGUAGGGAAUCUUCCACAAUGGGCGAAAGCCUGAUGGAGCAACGCCGCGUGGGUGAAGAAGGUCUUCGGAUCGUAAAACCCUGUUGUUAGAGAAGAAAGUGCGUGAUAGUAAAUGUUCACGUUUCGACGGUAUCUAACCAGAAAGCCAUGGCUAACUACGUGCCAGCAGCCGCGGUAAUACGUAGGUGGCAAGCGUUAUCCGGAUUUAUUGGGCGUAAAGGGAACGCAGGCGGUCUUGUAAGUCUGAUGUGAAAUCCUUCGGCUUAACCGCAGGAGCGCAUUGGAUACUGGGAAACUUGAGUGCAGAAGAGGAGAGUGGAACUCCAUGUGUAGCGGUGAAAUGCGUAGAUAUAUGGAAGAACACCAGUGGCGAAGGCGGCUGUCUGG
rnacentral:rRNA from 1 species